rnacentral:rRNA from 1 species
AGUGAACGCUGGCGGUAGGCCUAACACAUGCAAGUCGAACGGCAGCACAGUAAGAGCUUGCUCUUACGGGUGGCGAGUGGCGGACGGGUGAGGAAUACAUCGGCAUCUACUUUUUCGUGGGGGAUAACGUAGGGAAACUUACGCUAAUACCGCAUACGACCUACGGGUGAAAGCAGGGGAUCUUCGGACCUUGCGCGAUUGAAUGAGCCGAUGUCGGAUUAGCUAGUUGGCGGGGUAAAGGCCCACCAAGGCGACGAUCCGUAGCUGGUCUGAGAGGGUGAUCAGCCACACUGGGACUGAGACACGGUCCAGACUCCUACGGGAGGCAGCAGUGGGGAAUAUUGGACGAUGGGCGCAAGCUUGAUCCAGCCAUACCGCGUGGGUGAAGAAGGCCUUCGGGUUGUAAAGCCCUUUUGUUGGGAAAGAAAAGCAGCAGGUUAAUACCCCGCUGUUCUGACGGUACCCAAAGAAUAAGCACCGGCUAACUUCGUG